CGUUUUUGAAUUCCAGCGGUCGAGAAGAGAUUGAUCCCCGUCUGCUGAUUUAAAUUGAUGGUCUGACGGAAAUAUUGUUGUGCGGAUUUACACUAAAACACGAAAGAUCCUGAACCGCGACCGUGUCACAAGUUUCCUUACAUCGCAAACAAAAAGAUGCAAGACUGCAAACUUUCCAGUACUUCUGUGAACUGAUAAUCCGGUUUCUAUCCAGUCCCAGGAGGUUUGUCUGUUUUAUCCUUCUUCACUAAAAUGUCUUAAAAUUGCUUGGUUAUUGACCAGUAAUGCUAGGAGAUUGUAGAUAUACAAUAGGAAUUUUGUUAUUUACUACUUUUUUCAGAUUAUAUUAAACCUGGAAAAUAUUGGAGAAGAUCAAUUAAGUUUUCAGGAGCACAUUACUGUGAUAAAUGCUGAACUAUGUAAAAGACAACCUGACUACACCAACAUAUCAAAAAUCUAAUGAGAUGCGCUCUUUUUAAAAGAGUUGAUUUAAUGACAAAAUCAACAUGAGAGGUCAUGGACAUGUUCCCAUUUCUUCAGGUUCCACAACUUCUGCUGCAUGAAGUGAAGAUGCGGUUUGGGAAGGACCUUCAUCUUAAUCUAGAGACUGCUCUUCAAGUUCUGAACAGUUUAAUUUAAAUUAAAUUUAUGCAUUUAGCAGACGC